rnacentral:rRNA from 1 species
GACGAACGCUGGCGGCGUGCUUAACACAUGCCAGUCGAACGGUGAAGCGUCUUCCUUUUUGGUGGGUGUGGAUGAGUGGCGAACGGGUGAGUAACACGUGAGUAACCUGCCCCCUUCUUCUGGAUAACCGCAUGAAAGUGUGGCUAAUACGGGAUAUUCUGGGUCUGUCGCAUGAUGGGUCUGGGAAAGAUAUUGUUUCGGUGGGGGAUGGGCUCGCGGCCUAUCAGCUUGUUGGUGGGGUGAUGGCCUACCAAGGCGGUGACGGGUAGCCGGCCUGAGAGGGUGGACGGUCACACUGGGACUGAGACACGGCCCAGACUCCUACGGGAGGCAGCAGUGGGGAAUAUUGCACAAUGGGCGCAAGCCUGAUGCAGCGACGCCGCGUGAGGGAUGGAGGCCUUCGGGUUGUGAACCUCUUUCGCCAGUGAAGCAGGCCUGCCUCGUUUGUGGGUGGGUUGACGGUAGCUGGAUAAGAAGCGCCGGCUAACUACGUG